rnacentral:rRNA from 1 species
UACAGAGGGGGCAAGCGUUGUUCGGAAUUACUGGGCGUAAAGGGUGCGUAGGCGGCGCGGUAAGUCGGGUGUGAAAUCUCGGAGCUUAACUCCGAAACUGCAUUCGAUACUGCCGUGCUUGAGGACUGGAGAGGAGACUGGAAUUUACGGUGUAGCGGUGAAAUGCGUAGAUAUCGUAAGGAAGACCAGUGGCGAAGGCGGGUCUCUGGACAGUUCCUGACGCUGAGGCACGAAGGUCAGGGGAGCAAACGGG